GAUGAACGCUGGCGGCGUGCCUAAUACAUGCAAGUCGAGCGAACAGAUGAGGAGCUUGCUCCUGUGACGUUAGCGGCGGACGGGGGAGUAACACGUGGAGAACCGAGCUAUUAGACUGGGAUAACUUCGGGAAACCGGAGCGAAUACCGGGUAAUAUAUUGUACCGCAUGGUUCAAUAGUGAAAGACGGUGUUGCUGUCACUUAUAGAUGGAUCCGCGCCGCAUUAGCUAGUUGGUAAGGUAACGGCUUACCAAGGCAACGAUGCGUAGCCGACCUGAGAGGGUACGCGGCCACACUGGCAUUGAGACACGGUCCAGACCACUACGGGAGGCAGCAGUAGGGAAUCUUCCGCAAUGGGCGAAAUCUUGAAGGAGCAACGCCGCGUGAGUGCUGAAGGUCUUCGGAUCGUAAAACUCUGUUAUUAGGGAAGAGCAAAUGUGUAAGUAACUAUGCACGUCUUGACGGUACCUAAUCAGAAAGCCACGGCUAACUACGUG
rnacentral:rRNA from 1 species